GACGAACGCUGGCGGCGUGCUUAACACAUGCAAGUCGAACGGAAAGGCCCUGCUUUUGUGGGGUGCCCGAGUGGCGAACGGGUGAGUAACACGUGAGUAACCUGCCCUUGACUUUGGGAUAACUUCAGGAAACUGGGGCUAAUACCGGAUAGGAGCUCCUGCUGCAUGGUGAGGGUUGGAAAGUUUCGGCGGUUGGGGAUGGACUCGCGGCUUAUCAGCUUGUUGGUGGGGUAGUGGCUUACCAAGGCUUUGACGGGUAGCCGGCCUGAGAGGGUGACCGGCAACAUUGGGACUGACAUACGGCCGAGACUCCUACGGGAGGCAGCAGUGGGGAAUAUAGCACAAUGGGCGGAAGCCUGAUGCAGCAACGCCGCGUGCGGGAUGACGGCCUUCUGGUUGUAAACCGCUUUCGCCCGUGACGAAGCGUGAGUGACGGUAAUGGGUAAAGAAGCACCGGCUAACUACGUG
rnacentral:rRNA from 1 species